CGGAAGCGCGACGCUGGAGCUGCGGGGUUACCAUGGGAACCGAACCGCCGCGCCUCGCCCAGGACAGGUACACUUAGAGGCCUUUUGUGUCCAGCUGGGCAGAAGUGCUGCACCACAGGCUGUGGUCGGAUCUGCUGAGACAUUCCUAAGGAGUUUGGUGGUGAAUGUCCUGCUGACCCCCUUCCGUGUGAGGAGCUGUGUGAUGGGGAUGCAUCCUGUCCCCAGGGGCAUAAAUGCUGCAGCACCGGCUGUGGCCGCACCUGCCUUGGAGACAUUGAGGGAGGGCGGGGCGGUGAUUGUCCAAAAGUUCUGGUGGGCCUGUGCAUUGUUGGCUGUGUGAUGGAUGAGAAUUGUCAAGCUGGAGAAAAAUGUUGCAAGUCAGGCUGUGGCCGCUUCUGUGUCCCACCAGUCCUGCCCCCAAAACUGACCACGAACCCCAACUGGACUGUGAGGUCUGAUUCUGAAUUAG
rnacentral:sRNA from 1 species